rnacentral:rRNA from 1 species
GCAAGUCGAGCGGUAACAGGAAUUAGCAUUCUAAUUUGCUGACGAGCGGCGUACGGGUGAGUACUGCCUAGGAAACUGCCCAGUCGUGGGGGAUAACAGUUGGAAACGACUGCUAAUACCGCAUACGCCCUACGGGGGAAAAGAGGGGACCUUCGGGCCUUCUGCGAUAGGAUGUACCUAGGUGGGAUUAGCUAGUUGGUGAGGUAAUGGCUCACCAAGGCGACGAUCCCUAGCUGUUCUGAGAGGAUGAUC